rnacentral:lncRNA from 1 species
CUACCGAAAAAUCCACAAACUCAUCGCCGCACCACUGCACACUAACCCACCUGCACCACAAUUGAAAAACCACCACAAAAUAUGCAGUAAAAUCACCAUCAAAACACUGGAGAAAAGUGGCAAAUCACCACAAAACCAACAUGGUAAGGCAAGAAUGGUAGCCCGAAAACUUCUACCACUGAUUGCCUCGUAGCAGAAGCUGUCGGUCGAUUUGUGGCCCCGUCGCAGAAGCCAGGCAAAUGCAAUGUCGGAGUAACCAUUAGAACAUCACGAUUUGUGACCAAGUAAAACCACGAAUCGUUGAGAUCUGCGUACUAGACAAAACACGAAUCCACGCAUAGAGUUGUCGCAUUGUAGCUGCGCGAAACGACGACUGCGACCGUGGCCUCAACACCGAAGGUGUCAUGUCGCCGAAGUAGUUCAAUGAAAGUUAAGACAAACUAUAAAUAUUUCUUGCUUGUGGUGGAGACAAUUAUAUCUAUUCUGCCUGUAUAAACAUUCAUCUAAUUUUGGGAAAAUCACAUAAAAAAAUAAUAUUAUAAUUUUCAUAAUCGAGUUAUAUAUAUAUAUUUUUGGAGUACAUUUGAGAGUUUCGAAACCAUUUGUAAUUGUUAUACAAGUGGUUUAUUUGAUUGUUGUAUUAUAGGAGUGAUUGUCUAGAGAAGCCGCAGUAGUUAAAGGCGGACAAUUUCACUUUAGGAUAUCGUGCUGUUACGAAACUUGAUUAGUCGAUAAGUUUUAACUUUUUGCAUUUUAUUGUUCUGCAAGUUACUGCAAUUAGUUAUUUUCAAACAUAUAUUGCAUGAAAAUCCAAUAUUAUCGGAUGUAUACCAUUGCGGUAGCAUGUUUGAUAUAAUAACCCAAAAAAGUUGGGUAUUUAAAAAUGUUUUAAACUAUAUGAUACUUAAAAUUAUUAAAUGUUAAUUAUUAGAGGCAUUAUUAGUCUGAAUCUGAAUUGCAUUAUUUGUUUUAGCAUUAAUAUAUGCUCGAAAUCACUUUUGCGCGUAGAUUUUGGCCAAGUUUAUUGGGUGUUGAUUAGUAGAGAUCAUGUUUCAUUGACAGGUUAAUUUAUUAGUAAAUUAUCUAUUCGUUUGAUGGAGAGAAAGUGUAGCUUGAAGAAGAGUAGAUUAAAGACAACGCCAGUAGUUCGAUAAAAGUUAAAGACAAAUGUGUUAAAAAAAUCAUCGCUUUGAAAAAUGGGUGUUGGUCCAAAUAUACGUAAAAUCGAAAAAACGAAA